rnacentral:rRNA from 1 species
CUUGGUCAUUUAGAGGAAGUAAAAGUCGUAACAAGGUUUCCGUAGGUGAACCUGCGGAAGGAUCAUUAAUGAAACUUGGGAGAGUUGAUGCUGGCGAAAGCAUGUGCUCAUUCUCCCUUAAUCCAUUCAACACCUGUGCACUCUGAGAGGGAGGAAAGCUUAUUCGGUCUUUGAUUAGAUCGGGUUGUUGUUUCUCUCCCCCUCCUUUUAAAACAAACUCUGAUAAUUGAAUGUUCAUUAGGCCGAAAGGCUAUAUAAUAAAACAACUUUUAACAACGGAUCUCUUGGCUCUCGCAUCGAUGAAGAACGCAGCGAAAUGCGAUAAGUAAUGUGAAUUGCAGAAUUCAGUGAAUCAUCGAAUCUUUGAACGCACCUUGCGCUCUCUGGUAUUCCGGAGAGCACGCCUGUUCGAGUGUCAUGAAACUCUCAAACAGAAUUAGCUUUAUUGUUUAAUUCUUGUUUGGAUUUGGACUCUUGCCGCGUUACUGCGGCUGGUCUUAAAAGUAUUAGCUGGUCUGUAAGAACCUUGGGUUUGACUUGGCGUGAUAAAUAUUCGCUGAGGACACUUUGGUGGCCUAAUUUCUUACUGGAUUGCUUCUAAUCGUCUUUACGGACAACUUAUAUUUCAAAUCUGACCUCGAAUCAGGUGGGACUACCCGCUGAACUUAAGCAUAUCAAUAAGCGGAGGAAAAGAAACUAACAAGGAUUCCCCUAGUAACGGCGAGUGAAGCGGGAUGAGCUCAAAUUUAAAAUCUGGUGGUCUUUGGCCAUCCGAGUUGUAAUCUAGAGAAGUGUUUUCCGUGCUGGACCGUGUACAAGUUUCCUGGAACGGAACGUCAUAGAGGGUGAGAAUCCCGUCCUUGACACGGACUACCAGUGCUCUGUGAUGCACUCUCAACGAGUCGAGUUGUUUGGGAUUGCAGCUCAAAAUGGGAGGUAAAUUCCUUCUAAAGCUAAAUAUUGGCGAGAGACCGAUAGCGAACAAGUACCGUGAGGGAAAGAUGAAAAGCACUUUGGAAAGAGAGUUAAACAGUACGUGAAAUUGUUAAAAGGGAAACGCUUGAAGU